rnacentral:rRNA from 1 species
GAUGAACGCUGGCGGCGUGCCUAAUACAUGCAAGUCGAGCGAACAGACGAGGAGCUUGCUCCUCUGACGUUAGCGGCGGACGGGUGAGUAACACGUGGAUAACCUACCUAUAAGACUGGGAUAACUUCGGGAAACCGGAGCUAAUACCGGAUAAUAUAUUGAACCGCAUGGUUCAAUAGUGAAAGACGGUUUUGCUGUCACUUAUAGAUGGAUCCGCGCCGCAUUAGCUAGUUGGUAAGGUAACAGCUUACCAAGGCAACGAUGCGUAGCCGACCUGAGAGGGUGAUCGGCCACACUGGAACUGAGACACGGUCCAGACUCCUACGGGAGGCAGCAGUAGGGAAUCUUCCGCAAUGGGCGAAAGCCUGACGGAGCAACGCCGCGUGAGUGAUGAAGGUCCUCGGAUCGUAAAACUCUGUUAUUAGGGAAGAACAAAUGUGUAAGUAACUAUGCACGUCUUGACGGUACCUAAUCAGAAAGCCACGGCUAACUACGUG